AUCUACAAUCAGCGCACCUGAAACUGAUGAGGGCCGACGCCAUAAAGACCAGCGAACCCGAAGGUCCAGUGCCAGAACGUAGUUAACUCUUAGUAUAUUCCUUCAGUCUCCAUUGAUCGAGCUGUGCGCCUCGCUCCAUUGGACUUCACUCCGGAUUUUGGACUGCUUCCCUCGAUCCCCGCUUGGACACAGACCUCGACGCCUCUCUCCAGCCCACGACCGCUCGCCUUGCCUCACUGGACGUUUGGACAAUUCAUCCAACACGCACGAACAACACCCUCUGCGUGGACGGUCAUGGAGAGCACGGACAGGGGCGAGCCACUCGGGAGCGACCACCCAACAGCUGGCCUGUACGGGCAUUACUCCGAGGCGCCUGCUGCAUGGCCGCCUAGGAGUGUCAACACACACACACACAAUCUUCAGGACCCAGGGGGAUCAUAGAAGGAGAUUUGGUGUCUAGACUGUAUAGAUUCCACACGUUCCUGCCAAGAAAGCGCAAGUUACACACUA